GAUCCUGGCUCAGGAUGAACGCUGGCGGCGUGCCUAACACAUGCAAGUCGAACGGAACUAUUUUGGAAACUCCUUCGGGAGCGGAAUCUUUAGUUUAGUGGCGGACGGGUGAGUAACGCGUGAGCAAUCUGCCUUUAAGAGGGGGAUAACAGUCGGAAACGGCUGCUAAUACCGCAUGAAGCAUCGAAACCGCAUGAUUUUGAUGCCAAAGGAGCAAUCCGCUUUUAGAUGAGCUCGCGU
rnacentral:rRNA from 1 species